UCACGUCUAAUUAAUGUGUCUUUUAAUUUGCUUUCCUCGCCUGUUCUUCAAACUGAUGAAUCUGUAGGCUUAAGAUUUCAUUUAUAAGCGCAACAGGAGACGCAAAAGAGAUGAAGUCAUGCCCAUCCAUGCAAUUUCUAUUACUUUUUAAACAGGUUGUUUAGUGGCAAAUUCUAACCCCAGGGCUCUCCUGCCCGGCAGCAAAGCAUGCUGCUGAUCUCUUUCGGUCAGGUGUGUGUGCCAAACUUUGGCAAGGUUGACAGGUUGCAUGAAGCUGGUAGCUCAGUCUUAACUGUUAGGUAGUGAUGAUCAACUAGCAGUAUCUGCCUGAAUGGGUUGAGCAGGACUUCAAGGUGUGCUUGGUAGGGCUGUUUGUCAGAACUUGGUGGCAUUGUCGGUGUACUCCCUCUGUACCUAUCCCUUUGCCUGUUAUCUCACAGUACAAAACUCUAAGCAAGUAGGUGCCAGCAUCCUCAUUAAAAUACCAGGUAUUACUCUACUAGUGCUAGUCGUCAUCCAUUUCUGUUGAGUAAUUAAUCUGUAAGAGAAGGAGUUACUGAGAGCGCUUUAUGCCAAACUGAGACCAGCUCCCUGAGUGCACUCUGAAACAAAGAAAAUGCACAAGCAGAUGUGAACUGAACAUAAGAAGUAAGGCAGCCGCAGAAUUUGCUGUUUUCUGAGAGCCUACAGAAAUGGGAUAUCAGCCCUAGCAUCAACCACAGCAGUAAAAAGCCACAUGAUCUGGAAGACUUUAACUUCAUCGUCUCCAAGAACUGCACCGGAUUCUCUGCACCUUCUGGCUCAUUCUGCAGAGCUGCAACCUCUGGAUCUCAGCAACGAGGAACAGGAGACACUGGAAGAAGCAGCAGAGGGUGCAUUACAGUCAACAGAUGCACAACCUGCCUAGCAGGAGGAAGAGGAGGAGUCCAGUGACAGACAGGCAGCCUCCUAGGACCUGCAACUACUGCCCAGCAUCUGCAAGCCUGUCACAGGCUAUCUCCAGGAGACACAAAUACAGGUUACUGAUGCUUGGCAGAUGAAAAAGAGAAACACACAGCACCCAGGGGACUGAAUUUCUUCCACAUGCCGCGUGUGUGGGGCUAAGGAAGAUGGCAUGACUGUCUGCUGUGGACUGUCGAAGCCCAGGAAGGAACAGGGAACAAAGCCCAGUGAAAUAAGGAGGAGUACCGAAAGUCAGAAGGAAGAAAACAAGUGGUGAUAGAAACACAGUGACCACAAUGAAUCACCACAUUUCCAACUGUGAUAGAGACUAUUUGCAGUCUGCACACACAGCUCCUCACAAACAGCAGCCUUUACUUGUUUAAAAUAUCAAAACAGACUGUUUCACCCACCUGACUCAUGCUUCACUGCUUUCACCAGCUCCCCACUACUGCUUCCCCACCGGGACUAACGCAAUCCUCUGUGGGAGUGACUGCCUGGGCCAAACCACUCAAACUCACAGUUGCAGGCUCUGGGUCCCUAAGUCAUUACUCCACCACAUUCCCAUGAACAUCCACAAAGUCCUCACCGACAGCUCCUACCACUCCUCUGUACAGGUAGCCGUAAGAACCAAGGAACAAGCUGACCCUGACCAAAGGGGUUUGAAACCGUAUUCUCGUCCCACUUACAAUGCUGCUGCAAACCUUGGUCAGUACAGUAUUCCUGGAGUUGUCCUUUCAGAUGAGAUUUGGAAAUAGAAGAUAUUAUGCUGCCUUCCUUCCCUUGUGCUAUUCUGGGGGGAAGCUACUGCCGCCAGUUAGGGUUUCCUGGUGGGAAGUUCACCAUGCAGCCAGGUCUAAAGAAUCUUGUUAUUUCAGAAAUUGGCUUUUGGUGAGCAUAUUGGGCUGUAAGAGGAGGGAUUCAAGAUGCUAAGCCUGUCUUGUGUGUAUUUUUGACAUCUUACUAAAUUACCGUCUUGACAGAGGAGAAAAAUCAUUUCUAGAACAUUACACUAACAUAAUUCAUUUCAUGCUGUUGCUGGUAAGCCUUCCAUACUAAGUGGGUCCUUUUAACACCAGUAUCAUGAGAGCCAUGCACAUUUUCUGUGGCAAUAAAACAGCCUUUCGCUAGUUUACUGAGAAACAAUAUACUGAGAAACAAUAUA